GCCGCCAUAUCAGACCUCAAACAUUUCGUUCUAUCAACCAACAGUAAUCCGUAUGAAUACAAGAUCCAGCAUAACUUUACUAUAAAACAGUCAUCGUUAAUACUGCAGUAUUGCAAGGUGUAAUAACAAAUAUAUAAUCAUAAACCAAUAAUUCUUUCUACGCUAAAACAGAAACAUAACGACAAGGAAAUAUACCCACACACUACCUAAAAUUACUUUCUUCACUAUUUUGUUGUAACAAUUUCUGUUGCUGGGUUCUUUCGGGUUAUUAGGUUUGUGUUGACCAUACGUAAUAGUCAUGUCGUUAAGCCUACAAGAGCGCGUUGAAAUUAUCCUGUUGUGUGGACGUCAAGGAUGGACACAGAGAGAAAAAGCUGCUGAGUUCAAUAACAAACAACCGGAAUGAAAUCCAAUAUCUCAAUCAUGCUGUAUCGUUUACACACAUGUUUUGAACUUGGCGGUGUCCAUUUCGAACAGAUAUUGUAACUAUGUCUUUAAAUAAAACUUGUUUACAUUAA